rnacentral:tRNA from 1 species
GGUAAAAUGGCUGAGUAAGCAUUAGACUGUAAAUCUAAGGACAGAGGUGAGAUUCCUCUUUUUAUCA